rnacentral:rRNA from 1 species
GUCUUUUUGAGUUAUUUUUAAAGUCUGACCUGCCCACUGAAUUUAUUUUAAAUGGCCGCAGUAUUCUAACUGUGCAAAGGUAGCAUAAUCAUUAGUCUUUUAAUUGAAGGCUGGUAUGAACGGUUGGACGAGGUAUAAGCUGUUUCAUAUAAAUUUAUAAUAGAAUUUUAUAUUUUAGUCAAAAAGCUAAAAUGUAAUUAAAAGACGAGAAGACCCUAUAAAUCUUUAUAAUUUAUAUAAUUUAAAUUUUUUGGAUUUGUUUUAUUUUUAUUGUAUAAAUUAUUUUGUUGGGGUGAUGUUAAAAUUUAAUGAACUUUUAAUUGAAUUUAAAUCAUUAAUUUAUGAAUUAUUGAUCCAUUAGUAGUGAUUAUAAGAUUAAGUUACUUUAGGGAUAACAGCGUAAUUUUUUUGGAGAGUUCAUAUCGAUAAAAAAGUUUGCGACCUCGAUGUUGGAUUAAGAUAUAAUUUUAGGUGUAGCCGCUUAAAUGUUAAGUCUGUUCGACUUUUAAAUUCUU